GACGAACGCUGGCGGCGUGCUUAACACAUGCAAGUCGAACGGAAAGGCCCUGCUUUUGUGGGGUGCUCGAGUGGCGAACGGGUGAGUAACACGUGAGUAACCUGCCCUUGACUUUGGGAUAACUUCAGGAAACUUGGGCUAAUACCGGAUAGGAGCUCCUGCUGCAUGGUGGGGGUUGGAAAGUUUCGGCGGUUGGGGAUGGACUCGCGGCUUAUCAGCUUGUUGGUGGGGUAGUGGCUUACCAAGGCUUUGACGGGUAGCCGGCCUGAGAGGGUGACCGGACACAUUGGGACGGAGAUAAGGCCCAGACUCGUACGGGAGGCAGCAGUGGGGAAUAUUGCACAAGGGGCGGAAGCCUGAUGCAGCAACGCAGCGUGCGGGAUGACGGCCUUCGGGUAGUAAACCGCUUUCGCCUGUGACGAAGCGUGAGUGACGGUAAUGGGUAAAGAAGCACCGGCUAACUACGUG
rnacentral:rRNA from 1 species